AUUGAACGCUGGCGGAAUGCUUUACACAUGCAAGUUGAACGGCAGCACGGAGAGCUUGCUCUCUGGUGGCGAGUGGCGAACGGGUGAGUAAUAUAUCGGAACGUGUCCAAUAAUGGGGGAUAACGAGUCGAAAGAUUCGCUAAUACCGCAUACGCCCUACGGGGGAAAGCAGGGGAUCGUAAGACCUUGCGUUAAUGGAGCGGCCGAUAUCUGAUUAGCUAGUUGGUGAGGUAAAGGCUCACCAAGGCGACGAUCAGUAGCUGGUUUGAGAGAACGACCAGCCACCCUGGAACUGAGACACGGUCCAGACUCCUACGGGAGGCAGCAGUGGGGAAUUUUGGACAAUGGGGGCAACCCUGAUCCAGCCAUUCCGCGUGAGUGAAGAAGGCCUUCGGGUUGUAAAGCUCUUUCGAAAGGGAAGAAAACUUAUGAUCGAAUAAAUCAUGAGGUUGACGGUACCUUGAUAAGAAGCACCGGCUAACUACGUGCCAGCAGCCGCCGUAA
rnacentral:rRNA from 1 species